UUCGCAGACUUCCAAAACCUCCGAGACGAAACCCUGUGCUUUUCGAGGUCACUCAUGGCGAUGCCCACCUCGUCGACGCCCCAACCACCGUACUCCUUCGGGGCACCAUGGCCGGAGCUCAACGAAGGCUUGUCCUAUGCUGACGCCGUUCCUUCAAUCCAUCCUGCUCCAACGCUGAUCGGAUUCUAUUCCACGGAGUACAAGAGCUCGGCACCGCUGGAAGGUUGGCUUCGAAGAAUCCGGAAUGGCCAGAUUACCAUUGACGGCCAAGUUGUUACGGAUCCUGAGACUGUUCUUAGAGCGGGUUCAAAAGUAGUUUAUCAUCGGCUUCCUUGGAAAGAACCUCCUGCCCCUUAUCUGCUUGAAGUUCUUUAUGAAGAUGAUCACAUGGUUGCUAUAAAUAAACCUUCUGGUCUGCAAGUUCUGCCUGGAGGAAUUUUUCAGCAGAGAACUGUCCUACAGCAGCUAAGGUGGAAUACAUGGAAAGGAAUUCCUGUUUCACGUCGUUGUGGAGAAGCGCAUCCUGUACCUGUUCAUCGCCUGGGACGAGGCACAUCAGGAAUAUUACUGUGUGCUAAGACAAAGCAGGCAAAAACUGGCCUUGCAAAAUUGUUUGCUGUCGGUACAUCUGCCAUCGAGGAGAAAAGAAAAUAUAGCCAGAAGCUUGAUAAGGAUUGGAGGAUUUCAAAGUUCUAUAGAGCACUUGUGACAGGGCUACUUGAAGAUGAUGAGGUUAUAAUCAAACAGCCCAUUGGAGUUAUGCAGUAUCCUGGUGUUGCAAAAGGGCUUUAUGUUGCGACUUCUUCAGGGAAGCCUGCUUUGAGCAAAGUGUCUGUUGUUGAAAGAGAUGUGCAGGAAAAACGGACAUUGGUUCAGGUAGAGAUCCAUUCGGGGCGGCCACAUCAAAUUCGCAUUCACCUUGCUUUUAUUGGGCAUCCACUUUUUGGCGAUCCUCUUUAUGACAUUGGUGGACAUCCAAAAUCGGUCGAGUCAGAAUUGGUAGAUGGUAGCUUUGCAGAAGAUGGAGGGUAUAAUAAACCAACAAACCCUGUACCAGGAGAUUGUGGCUAUUUUUUGCAUGCACAUCGGGUUAUUCUAUUUCACCCAUCCACGGAUGAGGUUGUUGAAAUAACUGCUCCACUCCCAUCAGUUCUUCAAACUAAUAGCAAAGAAUUGAAUAGAAAGGAGAUACCAAAAGAGGGCCUACAGUGUGUUGCAGGCAGUAGUUCCUAAAAACUAUAAACACUCUCCAGUUGAUUGACCAGUUUGAGACGGGAGCAAGGGCUCGGGUCUUCUUGAAGAACAGACAGAACAAGCGUCGAAGGUCAAUGGAGCGGAGCCAAUGGAGCACACUUGUUGCCAUUUCACUUCUUAUAGUUGCCACAUUUGUGCUAUCCAAAGAUGCUGUAGUCUCGGAUGCAAGUAAUGAAGAAAUAUACCAGAUUGAUUACCGAGGGCCGGAGACGCACUCGGCUUUACCCCCUCCAGAGAUAUCCAGGGCAGAUCCCAAGCCAAAACCUCAGAUGAAGCAUCAUGCACACAAAACUAGAAAGAUAAGGCAUGGAUAGAGAAGGAAAAGCAAAAGUGCAGCGAUGGAAUGCAAUUUAUGGGUUUGUUUAUCUACUGGUCAAGAGUUUGGGUGAUCUCGGUAAAUGACAGGAGAUGGUAUAUGUUAUAUCAUAUAUGUUCGAGUGGGGAAAAAAAGCCAGCAAAAUAAGGUCUGAUAGUUGUUUAGGAUCACUACAUGAUGAUAUUUGAAUCAAAUCAUAGAAGUUGUAUUGCUAUCAUUUUGAAUCAUAUAUGUAUGAUCAGCAUGUCAUGCUAAUUGAAAGCUUGAGUUCA